rnacentral:rRNA from 1 species
CGUAAAGAGCGCGUAGGCGGUCUGUUAAGUGUGAAGUGAAAUCUCCAGGGCUCAACCCGGAAACUGCUUCGCAUACUGGCAGACUAGAGGGAUGCAGAGGUAAGUGGAAUUCCUGGUGUAGCGGUGACAUGCAUUGAUAUCAGGAGGAACACCCAUGGCGAAGGCAGCUUACUGGGCAUCAUCUGACGCUGAGGCGCGAAAGCGUGGGGAGCAAACAGGAUUAGAUACCCUGGUAGUCCACGCCCUAAACGAUGGAUACUAGGCGUAAGAGGUAUCGACCCCUCUUGUGCCGCAGCUAACGCAUUAAGUAUACCGCCUGGGGAGUACAGUCGCAAGGCUGAAACUCAAAAGAAUUGACGGGGACCCGCACAAGCAGUGGAGCAUGUGGUUUAAUUCGAUGCUACUCGAAAAACCUUACCCAGGCUUGACAUGCAGUAGACCGGUCCAGAAAUGGGCCUUUCCUUCGGGACUGCUGCACAGGUGCUGCAUGGCUGUCGUCAGCUUGUGCCGUGAGGUGUUGGGUUAAGUCCCGCAACGAGCGCAACCCUUAUCGUUAGUUGCCAACAUUUUAGGUGGGAACUCUAACGAGACUGCCCGGGUUAACCGGGAGGAAGGUGAGGAUGACGUCAAGUCCGCAUGGCCCUUAUGUCUGGGGCUACACACGUGCUACAAUGGUCGGUACAAAAGGCAGCGAAACCGCAAGGUGAAGCAAAUCCCGAAAACCGGCCUCAGUUCAGAUUGUAGUCUGCAACUCGACUACAUGAAGAUGGAAUUGCUAGU